GCACGAGGAACGCUGAAUUCCGCCGACGGCGGGAGCGGGGGACCCACAGGACGUUCCCCUCGUGCGAGGGGCAGGGUGAAUCCUGGAAGCCCAGGACGGGUUACUUUUUCAACCCGAACCCGGUAGCUAACCCCGUAAGCGUGGAAAGAGCGUGCGG
rnacentral:sRNA from 1 species